rnacentral:rRNA from 1 species
GACGAACGCUGGCGGCGUGCUUAACACAUGCAAGUCGAACGGAAAGGCCCUGCUUUUGUGGGGUGCUCGAGUGGCGAACGGGUGAGUAACACGUGAGUAACCUGCCCUUGACUUUGGGAUAACUUCAGGAAACUGGGGCUAAUACCGGAUAGGAGCUCCUGCUGCAUGGUGGGGGUUGGAAAGUUUCGGCGGUUGGGGAUGGACUCGCGGCUUAUCAGCUUGUUGGUGGGGUAGUGGCUUACCAAGGCUUUGACGGGUAGCCGGCCUGAGAGGGUGACCGGCCACAAUGGGACUGAGAUACGGCCCAGACUCCUACGGGAGGCAGCAGGGGGGAAUAUUGCACAAUGGUCGGAAGCCGGAUGCAGCAACGCCGCGUGCGGGAUGACGGCCUUCGGGUUGUAAACCGCUUUCGCCUGUGACGAAGCGUGAGUGACGGUAAUGGGUAAAGAAGCACCGGCUAACUACGUG